GAAAUGCGAUAAGUAAUGUGAAUUGCAGAAUUCAGUGAAUCAUCAAAUCUUUGAACGCACAUUGCGCCCGCCAGCACUCUGGCGGGCAUGCCUGUUCGAGCGUCAUUUCAACCCUCAGAACCCCUUGCGGGAUCUGGCGUUGGGGAUUGGCAUCCAGCCAGCCCCGAAAUCUAGUGGCGGUCCCUCCGCGACCUCCCCUGUGCAGUAGCGAUACCUCGCAGCGGGACAGCGGUCUGACCACGCCGUAAAACCCCCAACUUCUCAAGGUUGACCUCGAAUCAGGUAGGAAUACCCGCUGAACUUAAGC
rnacentral:misc_RNA from 1 species